ensembl:snoRNA small nucleolar RNA SNORD47
GACCUAUGAUGACAAGAUUCUGCCAAAUGAUUCACCUUGAUUAUCUUUAACCGUUCCAUUUAGUCUGAGGC